rnacentral:rRNA from 1 species
UACGUAGGGGGCAAGCGUUGUCCGGAUUUAUUGGGCGUAAAGAGCGUGUAGGCGGCUUUACAGGUCCGUUGUGAAAACUCGAGGCUCAACCUCGAGACGCCGGUGGAAACCGUAAAGCUAGAGUCCGGAAGAGGAGAGUGGAAUUCCUGGUGUAGCGGUGAAAUGCGCAGAUAUCAGGAGGAACACCGGUGGCGAAGGCGGAUCUCUGGGCCGAUACUGACGCUGAGGAGCGAAAGCGUGGGGAGCGAACAGG